GACGAACCGUGCGAACGUUAUUCGGAAUCAUUGGGCCUAAAGCGCGUGUAGGCGGGACGGCACGUCGGUCGCUGAAAUCCCCCGGCUUAACCGGGGAACGGGCGUCGAUACGACCGUCCUGGAGGGGCGUAGGGGGACCUGGAACUUCCGGUGGAGCGGUGAAAUGCGUUGAGAUCGGAAGGAACGCCCGUGGCGAAAGCGAGGUCCUGGACGCCUACUGACGCUGAGACGCGAAAGCGUGGGGAGCAAACAGG
rnacentral:rRNA from 1 species